UAGUACAGCAACAACGAAGUCGUUGCUAAAUCUAAAAGGAAGACACAACCAAAGUCAGGACCCAUCAUUCUUAUUUGUAAAUAUGCUCUCUAAAAGUUAGAAAACCUAGAAUCCCUUCCUAUUUCCGCCACCCUCUUCAACAAUUUCGUGCUUCUUCUCUGAUGACCCAAAACUUCGACCUUUGUUUCUUCUAUAGUGACCCAUAGAUCCGACCUAUGCCAUUCCAUAAAGAUGCUUAAAGGGGAAACUCAUUUUUUUCGUUUUCUUGCAGGAGCGUGAGUGCCGUCAAGGUACCUACCGAGCGAAGGAAGCGAUAUCCGUUAGUUGCAGUCGUCGCCUCUUCGCUUCGCUUCUCUAUCAUGGCUUCUCAGCCCGAAUUCCGUUGAUUUUAUACUUGAACUGUCGAAAUUCGGCCGCCACUCCCGGAGUCUGUGGCCCUUAUGGAAAUCAUUGCAGUGGAAUAUGUUACUGAUUUGGUUCACAAGGCCCAAGAUGUGGGUUCAAAGAGGGGGAGGCUAUUGACAGAAGAUUUUUUGUUCAUAAUCUGCAAGGUGCAAAAAUCACUUUCUAAAUCUCAUCAGUUGCUUACCAAAGUGUUGUAGAUGGCAAAAAUAAUCAACGGCGUGGUGAGGUAGCACAUGGAAGUAUAAGGGUGAACUUUUGGAACUUUGAAGGAAAUAAUCUGCUAAAGGCUAUUGUAUACGAAGUAGUUAGCGGUGAUUAUUUUAUGUAGUUGCUUGAAUGACAUUCUUUUAGUUUAAAAAUGUACUUGUACAUAUUUUAAGGAUUGAAUGUGGAUGUAAUACUGGGGAUUUUUUUUAUAACAAAGGAUUUACUAUCUAUA